ACCCCGGAAUCCGGUGAAGUUCCGGCAACCCAAAACCCCUUUUCCCUCCAUCUUCUCUGACUAAUGACCAUCAGAAAACCAGCUAAAACAGCACUAAGCAACAGCGAACAACAAAACAACCAUAGCCGCCGGAAAAUCGGCAACCAGAAACGCACCACCACUGCCUCCCCGCUUCUCCAUUUUUUUCAGACCCGAAACCACACCACUUGAAACCAACCUUCAGUGUUCCCAGACCACCAGAAACAACCUCCGACUACCACCAAAACCCCUUUCUCUUUCCCCAUUUUUGCCGGCGAACCAACGAGCUCAAAGCUCCGACGGACAGCGACACACCAUAAAACCUGCGAGCUCAAAGCUUUAGCAGCUCCAGCGAACCGGAAACAACCAAACAAGCAUCAGCUCCAUCCGCAAACUCCUCCGGGCAGCAAUAAUAACAACAACCAACACUCCAACUCCGGUAAUCUUUUUCUCAUCGUUUUUCUCUUCAGAUCUGGCCGGAGGAGUUCCAACUCCGGUAAUCUUUUUCUCAUUGUUUUUCUCUUCAGAUCUGGCCGGAGGAGCAAACUCCGGCCAUUGUUAUGAUUUAUUUACUUUUUUUAGUUAUUUAACGCAAAUUUUCCGGCGAACAUUAUUCUUUAUCUCCAUUUUUGCAUUUCUAUUGUCAUUGUUGUUUUGGUUCUCAAUUGAUUUUUGUGUUACUGAGAUUUCUCAGUUGAUUUUGUUAAAAUUUGGCAGCCGGACUGCAUACGUUUACUACUGUUUUACUUCAUAUUUUAUUGUUUUCCUCUUUUAUAUAAUUUAAUGACUUUAUUGGAGUGUUCAUUUAUUUUGUCCCGAUAAUGGACGGCAUGUGUUUGUUUACCACUAUUGUUAGCUUCCUAGAAUAUGUACCGGUGAUUGACAACUUCCUUUGGAUUAAUUUUGUUAUACAGUUGGAUAUAAUAUUUAUGUAAUGGUCUAUUAAUAUUUUUUUUUAAUUGUUGUUAUAGUUUGUAUUGUGGUAGCUAAAUAUGCUAUGUUACGUUGGAUUUAAUGUUGUUUAUAGCAUUGUGGCAUUUUAAACUUUUUAAUCUCAUUCUUUUUAAGUUGUAUUUUAUCUUAGUUUGUUUUAUUUAGUUAUUCUUGACGUUAAAUUCUUUGGAUUGGUUAUAUUUUGCUCUAGAAGUUUAAAAUGUUGCUAGUUGUCAUCAUUCCGUUAUUUCUAUAAUUUACUAUUUAUUAGGUCAAUUGUUAUUUAGAUAUUACAUAUUACUUUUUGUUGUGUUUAUUAGUUUCAUGCCAUUUUUGUGUUGGAAAAAAUAAAAUUGUACAAUGAAAAAAUCUCUCCGUCGAUUUUGGAGGCUUUCACAUUGCGAAAGACAAAAAUUUAGUUUAAAUUUAUAUAUUUUGUAAGUUAAAUCGGCCGAUGAAGAAAUUACCGUCGAUUUCUAAGGUCUCCCAUGUUAAUAAGACGGAUUUUUAUUUUUUAAGUAAUUGUUUAAUUCAUUUAUUUUUGUCCAUAUUUAUUUAUAUUAACACUUUUACUAAGUGUCUUUACAGAUAUCCGGAGCUGCUUCCCAUUGAAGCUAUUCAACAAAGUUCGAACAAUAUUUUUGAUUCAUUAUUGUAUAUUAUUGACGAUAGGCAAAUCUAGGUUGUUUCUUAUAUUAUUGUUUUAUUUUAUUACUUGUGUAUAUUGUAUGUUUGUUUUAUUUUUUUUUAUCUCUUCCUCAAUUUGAAAAAAUGAACUUAGUCGGGAUCCACAAUUGUGGAUUUCGAAGGAUUUUUUUAUCUCUUCCUCAAUUUGAAAAAAUGAACUUGGUCGGGAUCCACAAUUGUGGAUUUCGAAGGAUGCCUUACACCUUCUCUUCAGAAUAACUUGAACCCCUUACCUAGAAUUGAUUGGUUUCGUAGACAUUUUUAAUUGGUUUCUUAGUUUUUCCUAAAAUUAGGUGGCGAUUCCUUUAAAAUUCGUUUAUUCUUAAAUUCUUUCAAAAUUGAUUCAAUUGUUUAUUUUUUGAGUUAGCACGACGUUUCUUCCUAUUUGAAUAGAGUAACGAUGUAAACAGUUUGAUUAUAAUAUUUGUUAGAUUUCAAGAAAUAAUUAUUAUUUAGUAUUGUUAGUACUAUUGAACAGAUAAUAUACAAAUAUAUUACAUAUAGUUUCAAUUUCGUUCUUUUUUUUGUACAUAAUUAUUUUAAUUGGUAUAUGAUAUAUUUUUUUUAUUUAGUUGGUUGCAUAUAAUGAAGAGUUUGACAUAUUGAUCAAAACAUGAUGGCGGAUCUACUUAUAAAGGAAGAUGAUAGAAGGAAAAAAAAAUGAAGCAUAAUUAGAGAUUAUUUUUCCACUUUGAAUUG
rnacentral:lncRNA from 1 species